AGAGUUUGAUCCUGGCUCAGGAUGAACGCUAGCGACAGGCCUAACACAUGCAAGUCGAGGGGCAGCGGAGAGGUAGCAAUACCUUUGCCGGCGACCGGCGCACGGGUGAGUAACACGUAUGCAAUCCACCUGUAACAGGGGGAUAACCCGGAGAAAUCCGGACUAAUACCCCAUAAUAUGGGUUCUCCGCAUGGAGGGUCCAUUAAAGAGAGCAAUUUUGGUUACAGACGAGCAUGCGCUCCAUUAGCCAGUUGGCGGGGUAACGGCCCACCAAAGCGACGAUGGAUAGGGGUUCUGAGAGGAAGGUCCCCCACAUUGGAACUGAGACACGGUCCAAACUCCUACGGGAGGCAGCAGUGAGGAAUAUUGGUCAAUGGUCGGCAGACUGAACCAGCCAAGUCGCGUGAGGGAAGACGGCCCUACGGGUUGUAAACCUCUUUUGUCGGAGAGUAAAGUACGCUACGUGUAGCGUAUUGCAAGUAUCCGAAGAAAAAGCAUCGGCUAACUCCGUGCCAGCAGCCGCGGUAAUACGGAGGAUGCAAGCGUUAUCCGGAUUUAUUGGGUUUAAAGGGUGCGUAGGCGGCACGCCAAGUCAGCGGUGAAAUUUCCGGGCUCAACCCGGACUGUGCCGUUGAAACUGGCGAGCUAGAGUGCACAAGAGGCAGGCGGAAUGCGUGGUGUAGCGGUGAAAUGCAUAGAUAUCACGCAGAACCCCGAUUGCGAAGGCAGCCUGCUAGGGUGCGACAGACGCUGAGGCACGAAAGCGUGGGUAUCGAACAGGAUUAGAUACCCUGGUAGUCCACGCAGUAAACGAUGAAUACUAACUGUUUGCGAUACAAUGUAAGCGGUACAGCGAAAGCGUUAAGUAUUCCACCUGGGGAGUACGCCGGCAACGGUGAAACUCAAAGGAAUUGACGGGGGCCCG
rnacentral:rRNA from 1 species